CCUACGGGUGGCAGCAGUGAGGAAUAUUGGUCAAUGGCCGGAAGGCUGAACCAGCCAUGCCGCGUGAAGGUCAGUGCCCUAUGGGCGUUAAACUUCUUUUGUGCGGGAGCAAUAAUGGUCACGUGUGGCCAGACGAGAGUACCGUACGAAUAAGCAUCGGCUAACUCCGUGCCAGCAGCCGCGGUAAUAAGGGGGAUGCCAGCGUUUUCCGGAUUUAUUGGGUUUAAAGGGUGCGUAGGCUGUUAGGUUAGUCAUCGGGGAAAUGCCCCCGCACAACGGGGUGAAGUGCCAUUGAUACUGGCUUGCUGGAGUGCGGAUGCCGUGGGAGGAAUGUGUGGUGUAGCGGUGAAAUGCAUAGAGAUCACGCAGAACACCGAUUGCGAAGGCAUCUCGCGAAUCCGCGAUUGACGCUGAUGCACGAAAGCGUGGGUAUCGAACAGGAUUAGAUACCCUUGUAGUC
rnacentral:rRNA from 1 species